rnacentral:lncRNA from 1 species
CUAGACUUAGUUUCUCCACCAUGAGAGUGCUCGCCACAUUUGUGCAACUCCCGCCGUCGAUGAUGACGCUACAGAGUUUUCCUUGGACCUGACAACGAGUAUGGAAGAUGUUUUCUUGUUGUUACUCGUCUUUCACACUUUGAAUGCUUAGACUCCUUUUAACUACAAGGAGUUCUCCAUCAAGGGCAUGUUCUACUUCUUUUUCCUCGUCGAAUGACACUUCGGUUUCUUUUUCAAUUUCUUCC